rnacentral:tRNA from 1 species
GGGAUUGUGGCUCAGCGGUAGAGCGCUUGCCUAGCAUGUGUGAGGCCCUGGGUUCGAUCCUCAGCACCA